UGCACCGCUUUGUGUGUGUAUGUGUGUGUGUGAUAUUUCGCUGCUGUCAUGGCAUCUUAUGGGAGCAGCGACGAGGAGGAUGAUGACUUCAGCCCGGUCAUCCCCUCGGCUGUUAUCGCUGCCUCUGCCGUGAACGCUGCCGCGGCGUCCACACCGACACCAAUCGGCACAGACACCUCUUCACCAGCGCUAAAGAGGGAGAGGAAAGACGAGAGUGGGGCGCACCUCACGCCAAAAGCGAGCAGCAGCGCUGCUGCACCUCCGUCUCCGUCAUCACCGUCGGCGGCACUUGUGGGCAACGCGGCGCAGAGAGCAGCGGAGACACCUGAAGUGGCAUGGGAACGCUAUCGGCGUCAGCAACUGCCGUGCGCGCCCCUGUACGAACGCAGUUUUCUGCAUACGUCACUGCAAAACGCGCAUGACGCCUUUGCCGCAGCGGCGUCAGCUCCUGCGCACACAGUGCCUCCCGUCGCGGCUCAGACGGUGCAUGAUAUGUGCGUCCAUCUCGACUCGCUCGGUGCGCUGGUUGCCACCAUCGAUGCAGCGGGUGUUGUGCGCGUCUGGCGCAAGCUGCCGAGCGGUCUCUUCUUCAUUGCGGAGCUGGACAAGGUAUUUCUGCCAGCUCGCAGUGUCGCCGCCGCUGGCCACGAGCGCCGCACGUGUCACUACUGGGCGCAUGCCUACACGGCCCUGCAGAUGCUGGUGUUUGUGUGCACGGAGGAAGAAGAGGUGGAGGUCGACCACGGCAACGUGCGUCGCAUGGAAUCGAAUGAUAACGGAUCGUCCUCAUCUGCGCCCGCAGUCCAGGCGCCGCUGAGCACAGUGCGGGUGCAUAUGCGUCAGGUCAACCCUAUCACCCUCACCGUGGAGGAACGCGACUCCUUCACCUUUCAGGCCCCGGUGCAGCGAGUCGCCAGUGCUGCAGCCACUGUAGCGGACACGGCGCAGCGCAGGAACGACGAAGGCGCGCGUUGGACCCCUCGCACCUCUCUCGCCUACACUCGGCGACCAGCCUUCCUUACGCAUCAGUACACGCCUCACAUCGCCUUCUUCGUAACGCUGCCGCCGUCGCCGGCGACGCCUGGUGCGACGGGCGGUGGUAACGGCGUCGUUCUGUGCCCUUGCUUCGCCUCCGCCAUGUCGGCGGGCAGUCGUUCCGAUCAUACGGCGGGUGCCGCUCGCAGCUACGUGCCGGCCCGGCUCAGCGUAGCAAACGCGAUCGUGGCGUGCGCGCAGCAGGGAUGGGAGCUGGAGCGGACCGGCACCUCUGCCUGCGUCGUGGUGGACUCUGCUGGUGUUGUUGACUACUGCACCAUCGAGGCGGCCGCCGAGGCAGCGACGACGGCGGCGACAUUCCCCUCGACUGCGUUGGGAAGGCGGACCCUGAAAGUGAUGGCGGGUCUUGCGGCGGUGCCGCCCACGUCACGCGAGGCACGCGUGUGGCGGCGGUGGAUAUGUUUUGACCGCCGGCAGCGGACAGGCUUCUUCAGCCUCAUACGGGAUGCUCAGCAAGCGCUCAAGGCGCGUAAAGAGGACGAGAACGAAACAGCCGCAGGCAAGGCGGCCGACGCCGUCGCCGCUGCCGAUGUGCAGGUGCUGCCGGCAGCGGUGCAACUCACACCCGACGGUCGGCACGUGUUGGUGUGGAGCUUCCGGUUUCUCCGAGUUGCAGCGGCGUCGUCGCAGCCCGCCUCACGGAUCCCGUCUACGGAGCGGCGCUAUGAGGUAACCGUCGAGUCAUGCAUGCAUCUGUUGGACUUCACGGCUGGCGUGUGCAUCGGCCGGCACACCGAACCCCUCGGCGUCUUUGCAACUAGCGAGGACAUUGUGUUUGGGGCCACGGCAUGGGCGGACUACGUUCAGCUCCGCGGCCGCGCUCUGGCACUGCGCCUACACGUGGAGCCGUCCGCAGCUGCGAACAACCAGUUCUACGUCCUGGUGCCUGAGUUGCCGCUAGAGCAACUGCUUGGCGUUGCCGCUGUGUCGCGCGAGGCGGCGGAGGUGGCCCCGGCGGAAGUUGCUGGACGCGUGGUGCAUGUGUAUGAGGUGACCCUCGAGGCGGCAGCCGCGUCGUCGCCGAGCGCCGCGCAGUCGUCGGCCACAGUGAGGCGGCUGUCACACGAGCCGGGUGAGUGGGAGGCGAUCAUCAGGCGGGGUGCAGAGCAUCCACGGCAUGCAUCACACCACGACGUCGGUGAUGUCAGGAAAGACCGGUGCUAUAGUGGUCUGGCAACCUCGCAGCCUACAUGGGGAGUGCUGCGCCUCCUGUCUCCCAACGAGUACGCCCUCACAGUCAACGAAGAGAGCCAAGCUCGCCAUGAGGCUCACGGCUGCGCGACGGCGACGGCGACGGCUGGGGUGCACCCAGGCCUGGCGCUCUGUCGCGCCCCGCUAAUGCUUCUUCGCCGCGCCGUGACCGCGUCGCAGGAUUUGAAGAACUUAGUUGCCGCCUCCCCUGUCGGGGCUGCGUUAGGGGCGGACGCGCGCAAACAUCUCUUCGCGACCCCCAGGGCUCAUGUCACCACCGGCGGGGCGGCAUCAGGGGAGGUGCUGCUGCUCUCUUCCAGCGCGGACGUGUCCGCAGCGGCGCUGCUGGUGUACUCUAGCGAGCUGCCGUGGGGCAGUGCCGCCCUGGGGCGCGUGCUUUCCGAGACCGCGCCGCCGCAGACCGAGGAGGAGCUCACUGAGGAGGGGCGACGUCUUCAGGAGCAGCUGCGACAGAAAAGCUUCGUCGAUGCGCUGCGCGAGCUACACCAUGGACGUGACGACGCAUGCGGAACACUCCUGCUGGCCACUGUGGCCCCGCAGAGCUCUAGCGCCGCGGUGGCACUUGGGGGUGCGGGCGAAGCAGCCUCCACGAGCCCAAGCACUACUGCGGAUGUGGCCGGCAGCACCAGCGGUGGUGGGGUGCCACCGGGGAAGACUACAGAAGCGGCUGCAACGACCUCGGUGAGAGUCGAUGCCGCGCGAAGGGCCGCAACCGUAACGGACGAAGAAGCCGCGGUGCGCGCCCUGCUAAAGGACCUAACCCCGCCCCUCAGUGCAUCUUCGCCGCCGGUGGCGCUCGUGCACGUGCGUGGCUACGGCUCCAUCCGGGUGCACCUGCUCCCCAGCAUUGCGCCGCUGGCGACCGACAACUUUGUGCGCCUGGCACGACGCCACUACUACGACCGGCUCACCUUCCACCGGGUCAUUCCAGCCGCGAUUGUGCAAGGCGGAUGCCCGCGAGGCGACGGGACCGGCGGCGAGAGCGCCUUCGCUGACGGGGCGCCGUUCAGCGACGAAGGGCUGACACUCUUUCCUUUCUUCUCCCACACGGCCAACCCGCUGUGCUGCUGGCUGUGCAUGGCGAACGCGGGGCCCAACACGAACGGGUCGCAGUUCUUCUUCACCGUGCCCGGCGGCGAGGCGAUGCCGUGGUUGGACGGGCACCACACCGUCUUCGGGUACGCCGUCGAGGGGCUUGACGUGGUGCGCGCCAUGAGCAUGGCAGCACGCGACGAUGAGGACAAGCCGCUCUCGCCCAUCAUAAUGGAGCGGGUGGAUGUGCUGUCUGCCUAGAAACAGCUGUCGCACGACGAGUAGAGUUGCGCUCAACUAAAAGCUCAUUGUGCGCUCUUGCGUGUGCAUGUGUGAUCACGUCAGUAUUGCCUGAGUCGGUAUGCGAUGUCGCACACGGGCGAAUAACUCUAACA
rnacentral:misc_RNA from 1 species